CGGGACGUAGCGCAGCUUGGUAGCGCGGUUGCUUUGGGAGCAAUAGGUCGCAGGUUCAAAUCCUGUCGUCCCGACCA
rnacentral:tRNA from 1 species